GAUGUUUAAAAAGUUAUAUGUGUUCAAAUCACAUAAUGAAUAUGUUUAGUAUAAUAUGGACAUUCAGAGUUGCUUUCCAGACCAUUUAGAGUACCAGAACAAUGAUUUUCAAACUAAUCUGUGUCCACUGGUGAGGCCAUUAGUUUUAGUUUCAUUCUGGUCAGUUUUCCCAUCAUUACAUUUCUUACAUUCAUUACAUUAGUCUACUAAACUAAAUUGCAAAAUGCAGAACAUUUAAUGUACAGUAAGCAAAUAAAGUGUGUUUAUAAGCACAGAAUGUUGAUAAAUGUUGCUUUACAGAUUGACAAUAAAGAAACCUAAAAUAAUGUCAAUGUUAAUGUCAUAUUGUCUCAUAUUAUAAUCACAAGAUUAUUCAAAAAGUGCUUGGUGAAAUAAUAAUGCAGUAAUUUAUAUUCUCUCUGUCGUAAUACACUGUACUGUAUUUCUUGUGUAGUAAUACAAACUGCACGUUAUACAUUUAAUAAAUGUAUGGGUCAGUAAUACAUUUUAAUCCCAGCAGAAUUGAAGUCUGGAAGAAUAAUGAUAGACACAAUUAUUUUGAGCACAAUUCAUUUUAUAUGUUGCACUUUUGCGGUUAAUGUUGUUUUCUACUGACUUUCUUAAGAUCCAGGAAAUGAAUAUGCCAAAUCAUUUUUCAUAGUUUGUGUCCUGUUCUAGAGGUUCUUCCUCCAGCAGCUGUUGUUUGUGUUUCAGAUGGUUGCUGCUGAAGGUGAAGAGAAAGUCAGUGAAGGAGGGAGAAUCUGUCACUUUAGACACUCCUGCAGUAAAAAACCCCAAUAAUUUGCUGAUGUGGUCUUUCAAUGAAUCUCUCAUCGCUAAAAUCACUGGAGAUCCAAUGGAUAGCUGUAAAGAUGUUCAGUGUAAAGAGAGAUUCCGAGACAGACUGGAGGUGGAUCAAUUUGGAUCUCUGACCAUCACAAACACCAGAACCACAGACUCUGGACUUUAUCAACUACAGAUCACCAGGCAGCAGCAGCAGCUUCAGUAUCACCAGCAUUAAGAGCUUCACUGUUUACUGUCACUGAUUCAGGCCUGUCGUUAGCAGCCAUAGUAGUAAUAAUUAUUGUUUUUUUAAUUCUGCCUAUGGCUCCAGCUGCUGUUUACUGUUGCUACAGACGCUCCAGAAAUGGCAUGUAUCUCCCACAGAAAUUAUGAGAGAAAAUUGAAAAUGUUUAUUUUGCUAAAUUUAUAUUUAUUGUGUUUGUUAUUAUUUUUUUCAAAGCAGACAAGGAGAAAAACAUGCCAAUUGGUUCUGUAUAAAGUCAUAGGAAAAGAUGAAAAAAGACCAAGGCCACAUGAUCGAAGAGGAUCCCAAAAGGAUCAAAGUGAAGAUACUGCAGCUUUAUUCCCCGUGAAGUGACUUGUUAAAAUAUACAUUAUAUUGCCAAAAGUAUCAGGACAACCCCCCUUCUAAUGAAUAGAUUUGACUACUUGAGUAUUUCUUUCCACGAGAACACAUCUUAACGUUUGAGCAUAUAAUGAUAUUCUAUUGAAUUGUGUGUGCUUCUAAUUUUAUAGCAACAGUUUGGACAGGACCCUUUUCUAUUCUAACAUGACAAUGCCUCUGUGUUAGAAGGGGGUGUCCAAAUACUUUUGGCAAUAUAGUGUUUUGUCUACUUCUCUAAGUCCCUAACGGCCUGUGUUUUUGAGCUGCAACUUGAUUAAAUCUGUUGCAGGUCACAUUGAUUUAUCAUAGAAUACUUACAGUUACAGUUAUGGAGAUAUUAAAUCAUCCGUUACUGGAAGCAUAGAUAAUAUUAGUAAUGUGAUCAUCUGUAGUAUUCAAUUAUGUUUUACAGGUAUGAUAUUUUGAAGCUUACUGUAUAAAGGAAGAGUUUUUUUUU